CUUUUUCCGUUAAAAGUGAAAAGUAGCUAAUCUUCGUCGAGGCUUUUCCUUUUCUUCGUUGGUAGAGAGGGGUGGGGUGGGGCCGGGACGAGGGGCGGCGUAGUGCGUCGCAGGUGCCGGCGAGCGGCGAGCGGCGAGCGGCGGCGGGGAGGGGGGGCUGGAGUCGGCAAGCCGGGGAGGGCACCCGCCCCCACUCACCGCUCGGAGGGAGCGGCGGAACGCGACGUGUCCUUGUUCCGCUCUCGCUAGCCGCAGCCCUACGACUCCGCCGCCGACUCGAGGGAAGAGGAGGCUAGGGGCACGAGGAGGAGGCGGCAGCGAAGGAGGAUGGUCGUCGUCGUCGUGGAGGAGGAGGGGUGGGUGCGGCUCUUUGGCGGCCGGGACUUAGACGAGUCCGAGAAGUGUAGGGAUCGACCUUGGCUACCCCUGUCCGGCAAGUAGCGAAAACAGAACCCCCCUGGACCCUCACCCUUUCCUUGCGUUACAUCAUCCUAGCGAAGCCUAAAACCUAAACGAGUACACUCACGACCACUGGAAGAUGCCUUACUUUAUCGAAGACCGUGACUAGUACCCCUCACCUAGGAUCUCUAUUAUUCCCUUCCCUCCUAACAAGGUAGUCUCUAUUGACAACUUGAGCAGUCUUUUCGUUAACUUAGUUCGAGACGAUUUUCCCAAGAAUAACUACCAAAGGGUUCCACACUCCUUUUGUCUUAACGGAAACUUUUUUAUUGACCUUGACUUGGUCUGGAACACGAAAAGAAACUGACAGGACUCCUACUCUACCAAUUUGCAGAGGAUUCGGCAUUGGUCCCUGCUCAACUACUAUUGUAACUCUGUUAGUUCUUCGCAGAUUUUCAUAAGCUCUCAAACUUAGAAGGACAACAACUCAUGAUGAGAAGUUCCCCUUUCCGUGUGUUCUAUUUACGUUGCCCUUGACUUCUACUUUAGAAACUUCGUCAAGCGUUCAACAAAAGGAGGAAUUCCGAUACUCCUCCGACAGCAGAAGGCGCGCUCGCCCCCCUUAACCUUAAUGCGGACCGCCUUUAAGAGAGAGGGAGAAAAGAAAAUGGAAAUGUAGAGAAUCGUAUUAUUAACAUGUAUAAGACUAUGUGCCUGGUAAGGACACUUUUGUCUCCCGGGGACCACUUUGCGGGUCGGACGGACGAUACUAUUUGGGACUGGGAACGCGAGAGCAGUGCGCGGUGCCAUAUGCUAUGAAGUCUGACGUCGUUUUGACGAUGUUGCUAUAAAAAAAAGACGGUUGUGGGAUGUUUAUAUACAGACGGCACAAAAAAAAUGGUCCUAUUAUAUCAACAUACAUACACGCGGCACGAACACAACACUGCUAAACGACCCAUAUAUAGAUACCUCUCUACUCCACUCUCGACGUCCGCAGGCUAUUUGAUCACUAAACUGACCUCCUUUUUCCGGCACAUGCAAACCUAAAUCAAUUACACUUGACGGCCGCACAAUAACAGUCAAGAACUGGCCGGCAAAUCGUCAUCGACUACGGUAGAAGUUUGCGAGCGGUUUUUUUUUUUUACACACCUCGCGGCCGCGAAGGUGCGACUCCGAUUAGACUUUUGAGGGGUAGUGGUUUUCCAACAAACAAAUACAUGAGGUGCCCUCCUCUUUCGAGACGAUGAUAACUGAAGACGACAAGGAAAAAGAACGGACGUAGUAGCGGAACGUCCGGUACCUCGCACCUGUGGACCGUGAACGAACUCACGGUCCCGUAGUAGCAGAAGUAGCAACACGACUGUCCACCUGAAGAGGCUC
rnacentral:rRNA from 1 species